rnacentral:rRNA from 1 species
GAUGAACGCUGGCGGCGUGCCUAAUACAUGCAAGUCGAGCGAACAGACGAGGAGCUUGCUCCUCUGACGUUAGCGGCGGACGGGUGAGUAACACGUGGAUAACCUACCUAUAAGACUGGGAUAACUUCGGGAAACCGGAGCUAAUACCGGAUAAUAUAUUGAACCGCAUGGUUCAAUAGUGAAAGACGGUUUUGCUGUCACUUAUAGAUGUAUCCGCGCCGCAUUAGCUAGUUGGUAAGGUAACGGCUUACCAAGGCAACGAUGCGUAGCCGACCUGAGAGGGUGAUCGGCCACACUGGAACUGAGACACGGUCCAGACUCCUACGGGAGGCAGCAGUAGGGAAUCUUCCGCAAUGGGCGAAAGCCUGACGGAGCAACGCCGCGUGAGUGAUGAAGGUCCUCGGAUCGUAAAACUCUGUUAUUAGGGAAGAACAAAUGUGUAAGUAACUAUGCACGUCUUGACGGUACCUAAUCAGAAAGCCACGGCUAACUACGUG